GUGUUCGGGGUGUGUACAUUGUGGGGCGAGCACUCCCACAGAGCCCCGUGGCGGCCACUGGGUCGGGGGAGGGCCGUGACGUGGGCAGGAAAUCCCCCUCUUCCUCCUCCUCCCUCUUCAGACAGUGCGAGCCUUAUAUAAUCGCCAGGGGAGCUUGCUCGCCCUGCCCCGCGUGAUCUUUGCUGCCCAGGGCCCCGCGGAGCAGCAACAACAACAACAACAACAAGAUUAAGGCCUCCUCGUCAUUCCCUUGAGGGGCCUGGGCCUGGCGCCUGGCAUGCAAGGUGGCCUGGCUCCUCUCAGAAGGAAAGAGGGAGCCAAAGGCAAGGCAUUAGUGGUGACGCAUGUCUAGGCUGGAGGGACAUUUCCAUGGGGGAGACCCUGGAGAGGAAGCUGGACUCCAGCUCCCAUCAGUGGUUAUAUUUCAGAGGAACGACCUGGCAAAACAACCCCUGAGUGUUUCUUGCCAGUGAAAUUCAUGGGGUCACCAUACAUCAGUGGGUGACCUCAAGGUGCAGACACACCCCUAAUUUUUUUUAAAUCUUGCAAAGAAUCCUUUCACAAGACACCAUGGACCCAGUACUGGCCCAUGAAAAGACUGACCACUGACUCCAGUCCCAACCUUGCCCUCUUAGGCAAUUCCCAAAGCCCCUUUUCUGCAAGAUGGUGGUUCUGGCUUUUGCUCACUGGACUUUGCUACUCCUGUGCUGUUGGGGAAGGUGGUAGAAAUCACAGUUUCUCAAUGCGACAUGUGGGAAUGAGACAAAUCCUCGAGCAUGACUCCAAAGUCAUACAUCAUAGGCAGUCACUCGUGGCCGAGUUUUGACAGCAGCAGAAGCAACAAUAACAACAACAACAACAACAACAACAACAACAACAACAACAACAACAAAAUAUCAGAAAUCUGGGAGGACAUGUCAAUUCAGGACACAGAGAAGGAACUCAAGGAAACAUUCUUCUAAUCUAAAGAACUGUAAAUGCUUAACUAUUGGCCUCCUCCUCACAUGGAAUCCAAUCUGUUUCAUAAACACACACAAAGCCAACCAACAGGAAACUCAGUGUGCCACUGCAGGCAAGUAAAAGGCUUUGAACUAUGGGCAAUGUGCACACCCAAAUUACAUACUGCGAUGUUCACAAUAUUUGAGCUGUUCCACAAUGCAGAAGCCAAUUAUUCUUGGCAAGAACACCUAGCGUGCUUUCCAGCUCACCAUCCCUCACAUGUGGAACUGUGCCACAUCAAACGAACCAAGUCAUAAAUUCCAUAAAUCCCUUGCAGAUGAAAGCCAAGAGAAAGGGGGGGGGGGAUGGAGGCCUUGUGGUGAACAGAGCUUUUAGGAUAAACAGGCUGUCAUUCAUCCGCUCAGAGAGGUGUUAUCACUGGGACAGGGGGGGAAAAAGAUGGCUAAAUGGCCAGUCCAAGUUUGGCCAUGGACCAUCAUCAGGGAAGAGGGGUUCAAGAUGUAACUUAAUAAGCAAAAGACCAGGUCUGUCUUGAAGAAAUUAUAUGACACAUAAAAAGAAGAGAUUGAUAUCUUACAUCUUUAGAGUCUGCCCAGAGUACAGAAUAUUGUUUUCUGCAGAUAUUUUAAACAACAACAAUAUGUGUAUUAUGCCCUCAAAAACAUGGUAUCCCAAGAGGUAGGCUAUGACUUCAUUGGGUUUCUGGGCAGAAGCAACUCAUCCUAAGAAGUUAUAGAGGAGCUAGGAUUUUCCUGUUGUUGUUGUUGUUGUGCCUCUUCAAGUCCUGUCUGAUUUAUGGCAACCCUAAGGUGAACCUAUCAGGGUUUUCUUGGCAGAAUUUGUUCAAAGGGGGUUUGUCUUGGUCCUCCUCUGCAACAGAGAGAUUGUGAUUUACCCAUGGCUGCCCAAUACGUUUUCAUGGGUGAGCGAGGAUUUUAAUGCUGGUCUCUUAGUGUCAUAAUCAAACACUAUAUCAUGCUGGCUCUCCUCAUACACUAGCCCUAUUUUAUUUCCUCAUGGAACUCUUGAUUAUUUCUCAGAAAGUUCAGUCAUAGCAGGAUGACGCUGGUAACUUACUGACAGAGGUUUUUAGAAACACAUUGUAUAACUUUCCCUGCUUCUGAAUGCAACUUAGAGUACUUGUUAGAAUAAGCAACACCAAUUGAGGAAACUAUCCCUCCCCU